rnacentral:tRNA from 1 species
GCCUCCGUGGCGCAAUCGGCAGCGCGUUCGGCUGUUAACCGAAAGGUUGUGGUUCGAGCCCACCCGGGCGAA